rnacentral:lncRNA from 1 species
GGGAGUUUGACGUAGAUGAUGAUUCAAUAAAUUAAUUACCACUCUGCAAAUUAGGGAGUGAAUUGUGAACGUGUUAGCCUGAGUUGCUUGUUCUUAGCCUGAGGAUAAGGCUCCCUGUGCAUUUUGUUUCUCCCUUGCUAUCAGCCUUGAAUAUGUUAAUCCUCUCCCUAAAACACACACACACACACACACACACACACUGACAUUCCUACUCCCUCAUCAGGAACAGCACGAUUUGCAAUAUUGAAUUGAUUGCUUCAGGGAACAGAUCUGUGCUUGAGAUAACUGGCAGAGCACAAAGCCAUUUCCUACCUGCGCCUGUGGAGUGGCUGCUCAGGGUGAGGGGAAGAGGGAUGUUGUCGGGUGGAAACCAGGAGCCGGCUGCUGCCGGCAGCAGGACUGCCCUAACAGCAGCCAGAGUAGCUUUGUUGGCAGGAACACACAAAAGGAACCUCUGUGAAGCUGAAGUGGCUGAGCCCAUCCGGGCUGAAGGGCUCUUAUCUCACAUUUCUGAGGCAGUGUCAGCCAACCUGGAGCAUAAUCCUGGCCUCCAGCAACUUGGUGUUUGCUAUCCUGUUAUCAUCCUCAGCUGCUACAUGGCAACCAACACAUGGGGAUCUGGACCUUCAAAGGAUACUUUCAGUCAUGAAGGAGAGUGAAAUAAGUUGACCAGAGCAUUAGAAUCCAGAGGAGGGCUGCGAGGACAAUCAUGGGCUGGAACACCUCUCCUGUGAAGGAAGGUUGAUGGAGCUGGAUUUGUUCAGCCUGGAGAAGAGAGGACCUCAAAAGUAUCCUUCCAAUAUCUAAAGGGAAAUAGUCAGAUAGAUAGUCAGGUGCCUAGAGAUGUGCAGUUAAUGGAAGAGGGUGGGACUAGAUUCCUUUUGCAGUUUUGUAUAUUCUUGUAGUGUCUCUACACUUAAGCCCCAAGCUGCCUUUGUACAGCUGGUCCACUCAGGUAGUCUUACAUCACGG